rnacentral:rRNA from 1 species
AUUGAACGCUGGCGGCAGGCCUAACACAUGCAAGUCGAGCGAGCGGCGGACGGGUGAGUAAUGUAUGGGGACUGCCCGAUCGUGGGGGAUAACUACUGGAAACGGUGGCUAAUACCGCAUACUAUCGGAUAACCCAUAGGGGAUUAGCUAGUAGGUGGGGUAAAGGCUAACCUAGGCGACGAUCUCUAGCUGGUCUGAGAGGCUGAUGAGCCAAACUGGGACGGAGACACGGCCCAGACUCUUACGGAGGCAGCAGGGGGGAAUAUUGCACAAUGGGCGCAAGCCUGAUGCAGCCAUGCGGCGGGUAUGAAGAAGGCCUUAGUGUUGUAAAGUACUUUCGGCGAGGAGGCGUAACCCGCAGAAGAAGCACCGGCUAACUCCGUGCCAGCCGCCGCGGUAAUAC